rnacentral:lncRNA from 1 species
CUCUGAAACCAUGGCAACAAUGAAGAGAUGAAUGUGAACUGGCACUCAAUGGAUGUUGCUACUAACUGGGGCUCCUGAAGGAGACCCAAGUCUGUGUGGUUUAAACAGCAUGUGUGUAUUUUCUCUCGCAGUUCUUGAGGCUGGAAGUCCAAGAUCAAGGUGUUAGCAGCUCUGGUUUCUGGUGGGAUCGCUCUUCUUGGCGUGUUGGUGGCCUCAUCUUUGCUGUGUCCUCACCCAGGGUUUCCUCUGCAUGGAUUUUCCUGUUAACUCCUCUUCUUCUGAUGAGAACACAUGUUCCAUUGAAUUAGGAUCCCAACCUGAUGACAUUGUUUGACCUUAAUGACCUCUUUAAAGACCUUUUGUCCAAAUACAGCUACACUGGGUGUUAGGGUUUCAACAACACAUGGAUUUUUGAGGAGACAAGUCAGUCUAUAACAACCUCCAUGAAGAUUCCUUAAGACAUUUCAAGUCACCUGUAGGGAGUCAUAAUUAAAAAGGAUCAGAAAAUUCAACAAAUAGAAUUCACACCCUAGAACAAAAAAUAAUAGAAUUAGUCAGAGGAGACAUUAAAGUAAACGUGUAAAAGUUUAAAUAGAUACAAAAAAGAGAAAGAACCACCGGCAUCAAACUUGAAGAAGGACCCCUAUCUUGUUAUCUUGCUAUGAAACAUAUGAGCUGUAUGAUCUGGAGGUUAAACCAAAUGAAGUGUUUACUGUCGUUAUCCCUAUUUGAUGAAGAGGAUACCGAGGCUCACAGAGAAUUCAUAACUUGUCCAAGAUCGUCUAACAUCAAGUAAUCAAGAGUGAAUGACCCCGCAGCACACACACCAGCCGAGACCAACCUUGGAUUGGGGGGAAACUUCCAGAGGCAGAGCAGCAGCAGACCACACAUGGGAGAAACAUCUACAAAUGAAUACCAGGAGGAGGAUAGUUAGUACAGAGGCUAAAGUGCCUUGGAUGAAUGCCAGGAUUGCCAUCUACUUGCUGUGUAAGCUCUGUGUGUGCCUCAUUGAUGUGGGGAUAAAGAAAAGACCAUGUUCCAAUAUUUUUGAUCCUACCAUCUGAUGAAGCAGGAGCAUCCAAGACUCAUCUGGCAACUUUAUCUUUCAUUCCCAAGAGUCAGCCUGUUACUGUAUUUGCAAUAUGUUCACUGGAUCUCUACAAGGUGGCAAUGGCAUCUGUAGCCACAGCCAUGUGAAGAGAGCCACAGGAAAGGGGCCAGAGUAAACUCCUAACGAAUUGAUCACCCUUUGUCUAUUUUCUGACGUCUCUCAAUAAUGCGAUUUUGCAUGCCUUAUUUAACAACAUAGUCUUAGUAAAGAAUCUGGCCAAUAUAUAAUAGUACCUUAAAAACGGUUGUUACAUCUCUUUUGGGGAACUUGUCAGGCAAAGCAUUGUUCCCCAGAGAUUUCCCUUCCAGCUAUAUCCUUUGUUGCCAAAUCAGCUCCACUUUCUUGUUCUCUUUACACAAAGUUAUCCCAAGGCUUUGCCUAUA